UAGGGAAUCUUCGGCAAUGGACGGAAGUCUGACCGAGCAACGCCGCGUGAGUGAAGAAGGUUUUCGGAUCGUAAAGCUCUGUUGUUAGAGAAGAACGUUGGUAGGAGUGGAAAAUCUACCAAGUGACGGUAACUAACCAGAAAGGGACGGCUAACUACGUGCCAGCAGCCGCGGUAAUACGUAGGUCCCGAGCGUUGUCCGGAUUUAUUGGGCGUAAAGCGAGCGCAGGCGGUUCUUUAAGUCUGAAGUUAAAGGCAGUGGCUUAACCAUUGUACGCAUUGGAAACUGGAAGACUUGAGGGCAGAAGAGGAGAGUGGAAUUCCAUGUGUAGCGAUAAAAUGCGUAAAUAUAUGAAAGAACACCGGUGGCGAAAGCGGCUCUCUGGUCUGUAGCUGACGCGAAGGCUCGAAAGCGUGGGGAGCAAACAGG
rnacentral:rRNA from 1 species